AGUGAACGCUGGCGGUAGGCCUAACACAUGCAAGUCGAACGGCAGCACAGUAAGAGCUUGCUCUUACGGGUGGCGAGUGGCGGACGGGUGAGGAAUACAUCGGAAUCUACUUUUUCGUGGGGGAUAACGUAGGGAAACUUACGCUAAUACCGCAUACGACAUACGGGUGAAAGCAGGGGAUCUUCGGACCUUGCGCGAUUGAAUGAGCCGAUGUCGGAUUAGCUAGUUGGCGGGGUAAAGGCCCACCAAGGCGACGAUCCGUAGCUGGUCUGAGAGGAUGAUCAGCCACACUGGAACUGAGACACGGUCCAGACUCCUACGGGAGGCAGCAGUGGGGAAUAUUGGACAAGGGGCGCAAGCCUGAUCCAGCCAUACCGCGUGGGUGAAGAAGGCCUUCGGGUUGUAAAGCCCUUUUGUUGGGAAAGAAAAGCAGCAGGUUAAUACCCCGCUGUUCUGACGGUACCCAAAGAAUAAGCACCGGCUAACUUCGUG
rnacentral:rRNA from 1 species